UACGUAGGGUGCAAGCGUUGUCCGGAAUUAUUGGGCGUAAAGAGCUCGUAGGCGGUUUGUCGCGUCGAAUGUGAAAUCCCGGGGCUCAACCCCGGGUCUGCAUUCGAUACGGGCAGACUAGAGUUCGGUAGGGGAGUCUGGAAUUCCUGGUGUAGCGGUGAAAUGCGCAGAUAUCAGGAAGAACACCCGUGGCGAAGGCGGCUCUCUGGGACGGUACUGACGCUGAGACGCGAAAGCGUGGGGAGCGAACAGG
rnacentral:rRNA from 1 species